ensembl:lncRNA
GCCUUUAAUGUAUUGCAUGGUAACAUUCCACUGACCAAUCAGCAGUACAAACAGCUAAAAAAGAAAAAAACAAUAAUCAGACUGAUUGCAGACAAAAAAAUAAAAUCUUUGAAAAAGAGAAAGACAAUCAACCAAUCUGGAGGGUUUUUACUGCCGUUAUUAGGGGCUGCAAUCCCUUUCAUAACCAGUCUGAUAGCAAACAGGUGAAAAUGGAACAUGUGCAAAAGAUGUUUUUGGUACCCCAACACCAGUUGGACUUAAUAAAGCAACAGCAGCAGCAGCAGCAAACAGGCACCAUCAGACAACAGUCUCAGAACGAGUUGGACAAGGAGAUGUUACAAGUGUUACAAGAUUCUGACAUAGAUGUGUAUGAGAAGGCUAAAAAAUACAGCGAUAUUCUCCAAAGAUACCUCACCCUUGUGAGACAAGGUGCCCGUGAAAAGAAUGUAUUGUCUUUAUCAUUACCUGAACAAUUUAACAGGGAUGUGCAACCCCAGUCGGCGGACACAUUGCCUGUUCAUGGUGAUGCCGGGGUGAGGGAUCUUGUUGCGGAGAAUGUUUUAACACACAUACCUAAAAGGAGUAGGAGGAAUGCAGAACUUAUUCUAUCAGCGGUGAACCGUUCGCCACACUUGAUCUCUUACAAUGACAAAGGCGAAAUUGUUGUUGAUAAACAAACCAUCCCUGGUUCACACAUUUAUGAUCUAAUUAAAGCCGUCACAACCACACACACACCUUCUGAGGGUUUGAGACCUAUCGGCUGGACAGAGUUUUUAAAAGCUUUCUCAGAUUUAAACAUACCGUUAUCAGCCAUAUCUAACACAGGCAUACGUAAGACCGUCGCCUUGUAUAAAACCGAUCACACACCAAAAAAGAACACCCCCGGUGGACCGCUGCGACAUAGUACACUAAAAAAAAUAAAGAAUAAAAAAAACAAAUUAAAGGGGGGUCCUGUAGAGUGGUUGGAUUUUUGAAUUCAGGUUUUUUUUUCUUAUUGCAGAAAUUGUUUUUCUGCUAAAAAUAUUUGCUGUUUGGUGUUUUUCUACUGUUAUGUUGUUGUUUUUUUCACUUAUUGCUGCUAAAUUGUUUUGUUUUAUUUUCUUUUAUUACUGUUAAAUAUUUUAUGUCUUUUAUUACUGGUUAAUGUUUGAUUUCUUUUAUGUUUAAACAAAGUAUGUUAUGAAUCUAUAUAUAUAUACGAGAUUUGAUAAUAAAUACCAUUGACUCGAUUAAAUCAUGCUCUCAUGUUGUUUUUAUUAUUAUUCUCAUUAGUACAUAUCAGUAUCCACAUUGCACACACACAUAAUCACUGCAUACAGCAACAGGUUGUAUGUUGUUGACAAAUCGACACACCAUAGCAUCAUUACAAAUUAAAUCAGACCCAUACAUGUUAAGCAGGCGGGCAUAAGAUACACCAUUUUGCAUAUGAUAUAAAAAAAAUACACAAUGUUGACCGCAUGUGAUGGAGAAGUCGUUCUGCACUUGUUUUCCUGAAUAUAAAACAGUGGAGCAGUUUUUUAGAAGAAACAUCUUUAUUGCUGGGGGAAAACUGUCUAACGAGUGACCAAAACUAUCAAAAAAAUAACCGCGUCUGUCUCUCGAAAUAUAAACAGCAAGCCAAUGUUCCCCUGGCAUCGUAGAAGGGUGGGUGUUUACAAUACACAUAGCAGGGAGUCUUUGAAGCCGUUCAGUGGUUAGUUGAUCAUAGGCUAACACGCCUAGGAAAUGUGUGUUUUUAUUGAUAAUGCCGCCGACCACGGCUGAUAGUUCUAUAGUGUUCAUGACCGUUUUUGUCUCAAUAGUAGUCCAAGAGCACCUGUCUCAUGUUAGAUAUUUCAAUGACUGAAUCAAAUACAGAAUAACACAAGAGGUUCACGGUACGGGGUAGUGGAUUUCUGAAACGGGUUUCCAAUCUCACGUUCCCAGUUUUAAUUAACGACACAUUCCCUGAAUGUCCUUCGUCAGCUUCCAGAUUGAAACAGAAUAAAGUGUAGCCGUUACCAAAGUCGUCACGUGUUAUGGCCAACGAUCUGUCCUUUAAAUGUCUCCCUGUGGUUUGUAUCAGCUGGUAAAAUUCUCUGAUAUAGUGUUUUCUCUGGAAAUUUGGCUGGAAUGGUUUAGCAGGAUAAGCCUGACUAUCAGCAUAUAAAGACAUAAAUUCUAUAUCGCAGUUUUCAAAAUGAAAUGGAUUACGCUGGUAGGAGCCUGUGUAUGCUUCAUUGUCUAUGAAUGCAAUGAUGACAAAUUUAGGUAUCCUACCCAUAAAUAAAUUGUCAUUUGUUGAUAUUCUAGCCCCUGCAGGUAUG